rnacentral:rRNA from 1 species
UGGGGAAUCUUGCACAAUGGGGGAAACCCUGAUGCAGCGACGCCGCGUGAGCGAUGAAGGUUUUCGAAUCGUAAAGCUCUGUCCUAUGGGAAGAUAAUGACGGUACCAUGGGAGGAAGCCCCGGCUAACUACGUGCCAGCAGCCGCGGUAAUACGUAGGGGGCGAGCGUUGUCCGGAAUUACUGGGCGUAAAGGGUUCGCAGGCGGCAUGGCAAGUCCGAUGUAAAAGGCGAAGGCUCAACCUUCGUAGGCAUCGGAAACUGUCAAGCUUGAGUGAAGGAGAGGCAAGUGGAAUUCCUAGUGUAGCGGUGGAAUGCGUAGAUAUUAGGAGGAAUACCGGUGGCGAAGGCGACUUGCUGGACUUCAACUGACGCUGAGGAACGAAAGCGUGGGUAGCAAACAGG